UACAGAGGGUGCAAGCGUUAAUCGGAAUUACUGGGCGUAAAGGGCGCGUAGGUGGUUGACUAAGUCAGAUGUGAAAUCCCUGGGCUUAACCUAGGAAUUGCAUUUGAUACUGGUCGGCUAGAGUGUGGGAGAGGGAAGUGGAAUUUCCAGUGUAGCGGUGAAAUGCGUAGAUAUCGGGAGGAACACCAGUGGCGAAGGCGACUUCCUGGCCUGUUCUUGACGCUGAGGCGCGAAAGCUAAGGGAGCAAACGGG
rnacentral:rRNA from 1 species